CCCGCUCUUCUUCUUCUUCUUCGAGCUCACCGCUGCUCCGUUCACACCAGCCACACCCAGACACGUGCGAGGAGGAAGCGUAGUUGCUGCUGGCGAGGACCACCGGCACGUCGGGUAGUUCAGCCUCGUAGAUGCCAUGAGAAACACAAUCAGUGAGGAUUGAUGGCUGGUAACAGUUGAAGUGUUUGAUGGCGACUCGGAAGUAGUGGUGACGUAUAGUGUCGUUAAUGGUUAGCCACCUCAGGGAUGAGGCGCGGUUUUGUUUGGCUUUACUAUACAUAGUCAUGGUGUGAUGCAACUGCCCUAUGGCAAUGACGAUACCUACUUUAACUCUUUUUUUAUAGUCAUGGUGUGAUGCAACUGCCCUAUGGCAAUGACGAUACCUACUUUAACUCUUUUUUUAUAGUCAUGGUGUGAUGCAACUGCCCUGUGGCCAUGACGAUACCUAUUUUAACUCUUUUUUUGUUCAUGAUAUUGUAUGGAAAUUAUUUGAGAUCGUCUCUACAAAAACAAAUAGUUAAAAGGGGAAAUUUUCUUGUA